CACGUCUCAUGUUGCGUAAUACAUACCGUCACCAGAGGGCUCCACUCACACCAAAUAAAUACUGAAGCACAAGGGAGGCAUUGACCACUGACUGAGUUUUACUGAAAGAAACAAGUCUUCUUCGUGACAGAAGUUCACUGCCAGGAGGAAACAUGAAGACUCUCCUGACUGCCACAUGGCUGGUUUUCCUCUUUUACCCUUAUGGGACAAUGACCGAGCUCACCUUCAGAGAACGUUUAGGGGACUCAAUACGGCACCACAGUUUAGGUCUCUGAAAGCUACAUUCCAAGGACGAUACCGACGCCAUUUACGGACCCAUCAUGGCACAGCUUCCAAGCGCGUUUUGCCGUCUUUCGAGGACGGGUAGCUGAGUGCUGGUCAGCCAACACAAAAUCAGGCGGCGGUCCAGAAACAUCCAUUCGACGUCGUGGCCUCCUUUGCCUCAACCGGGGGACGCCAGAUACCUUCUCGACCCGCCGAACCUGCGGGCCUCCUCAGUUCCCCGACGCUGCCGUCACUCCUGGGGCUCACUCGGCCUGCCCGGCAUCGCUGCCACACCUGUGGACCUGCUCACCUUUCCGACACCGCCUGUAGUCCUCCUCGGCCCACCAACACUGCUGCCGCACCCGUGGGCCUCCUCUGCCUGCUGACGCUGCUACCUGUGUACUUCCUCGACCUGCCGACGCCCUUGCCGCACUUGUGGUUGUCCCCACGGCCCAUCCCACGCCGCCACCACACGCAAUGCAGCUCCCUCCGCAGUGUUGGUCGCCCUCAGUCGACAGUAGAACCCCCCAGGCAACCUCCAGGGGAGGCAUCCUGUCAGCCAGCAAUGCCGAAGGACUCUACAUUCGGUAACGCCCCACAACAAGUGUCACAAUGACAUGGGGUCGCCUUCUGCCUCCAAGAUAUUUUUCAUCCAAUCAUUAUUCCAUAAUCAUUGUCUUGGGGGGAGUAUUUGUAAGGACAACGCUUUUUCUAUAUUUUUAUUGUAUUUCAUUAUCAAGCCAUGUUGUUCCUUUAACCAUUCUACAGAGCGUUCCAAGGCCUUUCCGCCGAUGUAUAACUCAUGUAAUUUCAUUAUUUGUAUAUCUUAUUAUCUUUAAAUGUAUGUCUCCGAGAAAACACAAAUCCUUCUGGCCUAGACCCAGUUUCUCUCUGUUCAGGUAGGUUACUACAUAUCCAUCCGCAGCCUCCUUUAUAGCCUGAUUUUACCUGUAAUAAAUUAUCAGUAACCA